CCUACGUGAGGCUGCAGUGAGGAAUAUUGGUCAAUGGGCGCGAGCCUGAACCAGCCAAGUAGCGUGAAGGAUGACUGCCCUACGGGUUGUAAACUUCUUUUAUAAAGGAAUAAAGUGAGGCGCGUGUGCCUUUUUGUAUGUCCUUUAUGAAUAAGGAUCGGCUAACUCCGUGCCAGCAGCCGCGUUAAUACGGAGGAUCCGAGCGUUAUCCGGAUUUAUUGGGUUUAAAGGGAGCGUAGAUGGGUUGUUAAGUCAGUUGUGAAAGUUUGCGGCUCAACCGUAAAAUUGCAAUUGAUACUGGCAGUCUUGAGUACAGUUGAGGUAGGCGGAAUUCGUGGUGUAGCGGUGAAAUGCUUAGAUAUCACGAAGAACUCCGAUUGCGAAGGCAGCUUACUAAACUGCCACUGACAUUGAUGCUCGAAAGUGUGGGUAUCAAACAGGAUUAGAUACCCUAGUAGUC
rnacentral:rRNA from 1 species